GUAGGGUGCAAGCGUUAAUCGGAAUUACUGGGCGUAAAGCGUGCGCAGGCGGUUUCGUAAGUCUGUCGUGGAAUCCCCGGGCUUAACCUGGGAAUGGCGAUGGAGACUGCGAGGCUAGAGUUUGGCAGAGGGGGGUAGAAUUCCACGUGUAGCAGUGAAAUGCGUAGAGAUGUGGAGGAACACCGAUGGCGAAGGCAGCCCCCUGGGUCAAAACUGACGCUCAUGCACGAAAGCGUGGGGAGCAAACAGGAUUAGAUACCCUGGUAGUCCACGCCCUAAACGAUGUCUACUAGUUGUUGGGUCUUAAUUGACUUAGUAACGCAGCUAACGCGUGAAGUAGACCGCCUGGGGAGUACGGUCGCAAGAUUA
rnacentral:rRNA from 1 species